AUGAAGGGCAGAUGUAGCCCGAGGCCUCAGGCUGCCUCCCCCAGUCCUGCUGCAACCUUGUUAAAAGAUAAAAAGAAAGGCAGGACUUUUACGGGAAGAAAGAAGCCGCGGGGCCAGGAGGCUGCUGGGCGCCGGAGAGGGCCCAGGGGCACGGGUGCGCAGGCUGUCCCCCGCGUCCCCUCCCGGAAGGCAGCCGGAGUGGCCCGUGUCCCAGGUGCGACCACGCUGCUGCCCCGGAGUCCUCUCGAGGCUCCAGGUGCUGCUGGGGAGGACGCCAGACACCCUCGCAGCCCCUCGCACGCCCCGGCCCCCUCCCGCCUUCCGCCCGGCGUCGGGCCCGCUGGGGGCCUGCACGGACCGCUGGGCUGCAGGACUUUCUCGGAGUCAGGAGGGCGCCGGGCCUGCUCAGCCAGGGGGUGGCCAGGGCCGAGGCCGUGCUUGGGAUGCCUCGGGAGCCACGGGCAGCAGGCAGGGAGGAGCGGGAACUGGAGACAGAGCAGCCCGCUGCCAGUGGCCACCUUGGGGGCGAGCCCCUCCCAGGCUCCCAGCGGCCCCGGGGGAUUGUGUCCCGGGGUCUUCCCAGGGCCCCGCUUGUUCCUGAAUUCCGCUUUCCUCUUUUCCCCGUUGUUACGGACUGAAUGUUUGUGACUCCCAAAAUUCACGUGUUCAAGCCCUAACCCCCUACGUGAUGGGACUAGGAGGUGAGUAGGCCCCGGGGGCGGCACCCUGGUGAUGGGCUCCGGGAGCUUUUAUGGGGUUGCAAGGAGCUUGCUUCCUCGCUCUGUUUUCCGCAGGUGAGGACCCAGGGAAGUCGGCGGUCUGUAACCUGGAGGAGGCUCUCACCACAACUGACCACGUUCACGCGUGACGUCAGACCUCCGGCCUCCAGAAUGGAGAGAAGCCAGGUCUGGUUGUUUAAAAGCUGUUCAACCUACGCUAGUUUGUCACAGCAGCCUGAGCUGGGGGGACCUGCAUGUGACACCCGGCCCUUCCUUCUGCCUGGAGUGUGGACUUCUCCUUGGUUAUGGGUUCGGGCGUUCCUGGGCCGCCUCCCCUGAAAGUAGCUACUCUGCUCUGUGCUCCUGGGGCAUCUGGCUCCGUCCUCUGGCUGACCCGCUGGUUGGCAUCAUCUGUCCCCUUGCCUGUGUGGUCCGGGAAGCGGGUCCCUUCAUGUCUGUGUGGCUGGCCCAGCACCUAGCACAUAGUAGGGGUGCAACAGAUUUGUGUUUGGGGUGACACAGGAUGCACACUUGCGAGUGCUAGCAUUCUGGGCUUAGAAACAGCAGCAAAGGGCAACCCGGGUGGCUCAGCGGUGUAGCGCCGCCUUCGGCCCAGGGUGCGAUCCUGCAGUCCCGGGAUCGAGUCCUGCAUCGGGUUCUUGCGUGGAGCCUGCUUCUCCCCCUGCCUGUGUUUCUGCCUCUCUCUCUCUCCCUCUCUCUCUUUCUCUCUGUCUGUCAUGAAUAAAAUAAAGUCAUAAAAAAAGAAGAAACA
rnacentral:lncRNA from 12 species